AUUGAACGCUGGCGGCAGGCCUAACACAUGCAAGUCGAACGAGUGGCGGACGGGUGAGUAAUGUCUGGGAAACUGCCUGAUGGAGGGGGAUAACUACUGGAAACGGUAGCUAAUACCGCAUACCAUCAGAUGUGGCCAGAUGGGAUUAGCUAGUUGGUGGGGUAACGGCUCACCAAGGCGACGAUCCCUAGCUGGUCGUAGAGGAUGACCAGCCACACUGGAACUGCGACACGGUCCAGACUCCUACGGGAGGCAGCAGUGGGGAAUAUUGCACAAUGGGCGGAAGCCUAAUGCAGCCAUGCGGCGUGUAUGGAGAAGGCCUUCGGGUUGUAAAGUACGUUCAGCGGGGAGGCGUUACCCGCAGAAGAAGCACCGGCUAACUCAGUGCCAGCAGCCGCGGUAAUUC
rnacentral:rRNA from 1 species